CACCUCGGUUCCUAAAGAAAGAGGGAAUGAAGAAAUGAACUGGACUGAUCUGGCUCAGGCGACCUCUUCUGAACACGGACAAUAUCAGCUCAAGGAACAGGUGUUGGUGUUCAUAAGCGCCUCGCCCUGAAGUCAAAGCGACGUGGAGGUCACGCUGAACGCAUUCUUGACCUGGGCACUGGUUGGAUGUGAGUGGCCGUAUCUUUCCGGAGGAAGACACCACAAAUGACAUUUGGACAGGGCGUUGUAGUGGGCACCAACGUCUUUUUGGAUGUGAUGGCACCGGCAGGAUUCGGGCCCCUGUCAUCAUUUUAAUAAGCAAUUGCAGAUGCUGCCAUUGACACGUGCCAAAGAUGUGACGAAUGAAACAUGUUGUAAAUGACUGCAGUGUGGUCUUUUGAGUUGUUUCGAGACGUAAUCUUCUGACUGCAUACCAACGUUUCGGAAGGAAAAAAAUUCGUCUUUCGGCGUUUAAUUGGAAGAAAAUUGUAAGAAGGCGUUUGAUAUAAAUUAUGCGUAUUUCACGUAUGUAGACUAUAUUCUGUAUCUGCAUUUAACUGUGUUAAAACUAGGUAUUCUUAUUAAAAUAUAUUAAAAUUGUCCGUCAAUCGCAAUAAAGUAAUA